rnacentral:rRNA from 1 species
GACGAACGCUGGCGGCGUGCUUAACACAUGCAAGUCGAACGGAAAGGCCCUGCUCUUGUGGGGUGCGCGAGUGGCGAACGGGUGAGUAACACGUGAGUAACCUGCGCUUGACAUUGGGAUAAAUGCAGGAAAAAGGGGCUAAUACCGGAUAGGAGCUCCUGCUGCAUGGUGGGGGUUGGAAAGUUUCGGCGGUUGGGGAUGGACUCGCGGCUUAUCAGCUUGUUGGUGGGGGAGUGGCUUACCAAGGCUUUGACGGGUAGCCGGCCUGAGAGGGUGACCGGCCACAUUGGGACUGAGAUACGGCCCAGACUCCUACGGGAGGCAGCAGUGGGGAAUAUUGCACAAUGGGCGGAAGCCUGAUGCAGCAACGCCGCGUGCGGGAUGACGGCCUUCGGGUUGUAAACCGCUUUCGCCUGUGACGAAGCGUGAGUGACGGUAAUUGGUAAAGAAGCACCGGCUAACUACGUG